rnacentral:lncRNA from 1 species
GGGUAUAAAAUAUUUAAUUUGUAAUUUAAGAAAAUCUUAUAAUAAUUGUAAAUUUAAAUGUGAAAACAUACAUAAGAUAGAAACAAUGAUACAAUAAUUUUAAACUUGAUUGGGGGAAAAUUUAUUCCAAAGAUGCUCGACCAAAUCGUUCUUCAAUUGUUCAUGCAUAUUUCGAUCCCGAAGUCGAGUUCUAGCGGUCAUCAUAUCGACGACAUUUGAAGGCAUAUCUGUUUCAUACGAGUAAUCCACUCUUGUACUUCCUUCAGUUUCUGCUUGUUGAAAUUCGGUGACAUCAAACUGAGUAUACAUAUCUCGUUCAUCUUCUACUAUCAUAUUGUGAAGUAUUAUGCAUGCCCGCAUAAUAUUUCCUAUUCUUUCCUUAUCCCAAAUAAGAGCCGGAUUUUUGACAAUGGCAAAUCGAGCAUGUAAAACUCCAAAAGCCCGCUCUACAUCUUUACGGCAAACUUCUUGCCGUUCAGCAAAUAAAGAAGGUUUAUUACCCUGUGGAAGUGGGAUCGAUUGGAUAAAUGUAGCCCAUUUUAGAUAAAUUCCAUCUGUCAGAUAGUAACCCAAACUAUACUGGGUUCCAUUGACUACAUACUUGCAUUUUGGUGCUCGUCCUUGUAUGAUAUCAUCAAA